GUCACACUCAGCGGACGAAUAAAGGCGGUGGCGACAGAAAGACCCCGGAGAGGAAGGAGAGAGGAUGAAGAAACCAAGGCUCAUAGAGGUUAAGCAAAUUAAGACUUGUCAUUUUAUCCCUGUGGGUAACAUCAGUUUAUUUCACAAAGUGGGCUCUCAGAAAUGCUGACUGACCAGCUGUGGAAUUCUUGCUGCUUGGGAUGAGAAUGGAUCAUUUUCUACGCUCUCAGUAUACUUAAAGAUGAAGAAACCAAAGCUUGGAGAAUUUAAGACACUUGUCCAUGGUAACCCAGCUACUAAGUGCCUAAGGCCCAGAUCAAAUGCCACAUGCUCCAGAAAUCCUUCCUUGAUGCCUUCUACUAGAAGUGAUCCUUACCUCCUUGAAUUUCCCAGGUCUUCCAAGGUGUAAGAAUGGAAAUGCUCCUGGGAGAAACAUGAUUCUUUUUCUACACUGAUACCCAGCUAAAUAAAUGUUAUUUAAAAUAGAA